ensembl:lncRNA
UAGAAACUGUACAGAGUCAAAAGAAGUCUCUUUCUGUAAUUUUGAUCACAUGAAUGUAUUUCGCGUUUUAUUUAAGUUCGUUUCACAUGAUGCGUGCCAUGCUGCAGUGACUUCAGAGAUCAGAAUGUGAUGAUAUACACAUGGCAACAGCUCCCUUCAUCUGUGAUGUGGAAACCUCUGAGGAAUCUCUGAGGGCUGCUGUGAGCAGCCACCAGGUCAGGCAUCGGGUCUGCUCCUACACUCUCCUCCAGGUCCUUGUAGGUGUACUGACGGUCUUUGUGCUGGCACUGACUGGAAGUCUCAUCUGGAUGAAGGAGACUUCGGAUUGCCCAGGGAAGCUUUGGACUGUCAAUUUCACAGGAACAAAUGCAACCUUCACUUCACCUAGAACUCAGAAAUAUGUGAUCUUUGGCAGUGUCUUCACAACAGGAGUUGUCAGUAACUGCACAAAUGUAUUCAGGCUGCAAUCCCAUGGAAAAGAAAUCCUAAAAAGUGGAGUCGCUGAGAUAUUUAGUAGAGAUGAUGUAGAGCUUCGGAAAGAAGCAACACUAAGUGUAAUGCUUAAUUGUAAAGUGUUUAUUGAUGAGGACAAGUCCAAACUCUUCAUUUAUCAACAUAACUCAUGCUAGGAUGCAUACACAUCUUAGCUGUUGCUGGUAUCCGGCCCAAGGGGAAAACCCUCUCUUUAACUUUUAAAGAUUUACAUACAUAUACUGUAGCUGAAUCUGAUUGAACAAACAAUUACUUUCAACAUCAGUUUCAAGAGCUUAGAGGGAUCCUGACAAGGCUAACUUGUGAAUGUUUUGUUAAGCAAAAAUGGUUUAAAAUGAUUGCAGAAUUUAUCAGUGAAGUUCAGUAGAACAUUUGUUUGUUCAUCAGUGUGAGUGUGGUUUAGUUACUGUAUAUUUAAAUAUUUUAUAAAUCACUUUAAAUCUAUUUUUAGAUAAUUACUGAUUGUAUUUGAAUUAUUAUUUCCUUUUUGUUUGAAAUUUAUUAACAUGUAAACUGUUUGUUUUGGCACCUAUGGUGUCCACAACCUUCUCAUUACUGUUCAACUCUAUGAAACCUCUGAAACAUGUUUGUAUUCAUUACACACAUUAUUAAAAAUUUUCCUGACAAGAGCAUG